rnacentral:rRNA from 1 species
CAGCCGCCGCGGGAAUACGUAGGGUGCAAGCGUUAAUCGGAAUUACUGGGCGUAAAGCGUGCGCAGGCGGUUAUAUAAGACAGAUGUGAAAUCCCCGGGCUCAACCUGGGAACUGCAUUUGUGACUGUAUAGCUAGAGUACGGCAGAGGGGGAUGGAAUUCCGCGUGUAGCAGUGAAAUGCGUAGAUAUGCGGAGGAACACCGAUGGCGAAGGCAAUCCCCUGGGCCUGUACUGACGCUCAUGCACGAAAGCGUGGGGAGCAAACAGGAUUAGAUACCCCCGUAGUCCCUGUCUCUUAUAA